rnacentral:rRNA from 1 species
GAAAAGCAGCAUCGUUGAAGGUGAAAAUCCUGUAAAUGAUAUGGACUACCAGUGCAUUUGUGAUACGGUUUCUAAGAGUCGAGUUGUUUGGGAAUGCAGCUCAAAGUGGGUGGUAAAUUCCAUCUAAGGCUAAAUAUAAGUGAGAGACCGAUAGCAAACAAGUACCGUGAGGGAAAGAUGAAAAGAACUUUGAAAAUAGAGUUAACAGUACGUGAAAUUGCUGAAAGGGAAACGUUUGAAGUUAGUAUUGUAUUCGUUGGAUCAGCUUCGCAAGGAGUGUAUUCUGAUGAUAAGCAAGUCAACAUCAAUCUAUGAGUGUUGGAUAAGGGUUUUGGGAAUGUAGCAAUUUAAUUGUGUUAUAGCCUAGGACUUGGAUACGAUGCUUUUGAUUGAGGAACGCGUAGUAAGCUUUGAGCGGAUUGGAAACAAUCUCCUUGCUAUGGAUGUUGGUGAAAUAACUUUAAGCGACCCGUCUUGAAACACGGACCAAGGAGUCUAACAUGCUUGCGAGUAUUAGGGUGUUGAAACCCGAAUGCGUAAUGAAAGUGAAUUUCGGAUGUGAUCCGCAAGGUGCAACAUCGACCGGUCCUGAUUAUUUAUAUGACGGUACUGAGUAAGAGCAAGUAUGUUAGGACCCGAAAGAUGGUGAACUAUGCCUGGAUAGGGUGAAGUCAGAGGAAACUCUGAUGGAAGCUCGUAGCGGUUCUGACGUGCAAAUCGAUCGUAGAAUCUGGGUA